rnacentral:rRNA from 1 species
GACGAACGCUGGCGGCGUGGAUUAGGCAUGCAAGUCGAACGGUAUCAUCCUUUCGGGGGUGAGAGAGUGGCGAACUGGUGAGUAACACGUAGGUUAUCUACCCUCAAGACGGGGACAACCCAGGGAAACUUGGGCUAAUACCGGAUGUGAGCAACUUUUAGUUGUUUGAAAGGUGGCGUAAGCUGUCGCUUGGGGAUGAGCCUGCGUCCUAUUAGUUAGUUGGUGAGGUAACGGCUCACCUAGGCAAUGAUAGGUAGGCGGCCUUAACGGGUGGUCGCCCACACUGGGAUUGAGAUACGGCCCAGACUCCUACGGGAGGCAGCAGUCGAGAAUAGUCUACAAUGGUCGGAAGACUGAUAGUGCGACGCCGCGUGAACGAUGAAUCCCUUCGGGGUGUAAAGUUCUUUUAUAUGUGAGCAGUGCUUCUUAUAUUAACAGUAUGGGGAGAGAGAUAUUAGCAUAUGAAUAAGCAACGGCUAACUCCGUGACCAGCACGCCGGACGGUAAACACGG